GAAAUACAAAAUAUCCUUGGUCAUAUAGCCUGGUUUUAUACCUGCACUGUCUAGGUACAGUAUAUAUCAAUUUACUGGCCAUUCCUGCAGUCUUGUUCUUAAACCUACAUUACCAAAUAUUAGCACAGAAGAAAAUCAGAAAACUUGUAAUGAUUGGCAACAUCACUAGAUAUCUUUCUCCCGUGUCCCGCGAAAUCACAUUACAGUACCACUAUCAUUAUUAUUUCUCGGCAGAUACAUCAGUGGUGGUGAGGCCGUCACAUUACCAGCGGUUGUGGAUUUCUCAAUUCAACCUUUAUAUUGCAGACUCCACAUAAGGUAAAACACUUCCAUUCAGCAAUUGGUGUGCAGUGUCCAGAUUGUCAACAUUUAGUUCAGUAUGAUGUUACUUCUGGCCAGCUUAACCUGAGGAGAAAGUCAGUACAGUACACGAUUAGAUUUUGAAAAGGAAACUGCAAAGUACGCAAGCUAU